rnacentral:rRNA from 1 species
GGUUAAGCRACUAAGCGUACACGGUGGAUGCCCUGGCAGUCAGAGGCGAUGAAGGACGUGCUAAUCUGCGAAAAGCGCCGGCGAGGUGAUAUGAACCUUUGACCCGGCGAUGUCCGAAUGGGGAAACCCAGUGUGAUUCGUCACACUAUCGUUAACUGAAUACAUAGGUUAACGAGGCGAACCGGGGGAACUGAAACAUCUAAGUACCCCGAGGAAAAGAAAUCAACCGAGAUUCCCCCAGUAGCGGCGAGCGAACGGGGAGCAGCCCAGAGUC